UACGGAGGGGGCUAGCGUUGUUCGGAAUUACUGGGCGUAAAGCGCACGUAGGCGGCUUUGUAAGUUAGAGGUGAAAGCCCGGGGCUCAACUCCGGAAUUGCCUUUAAGACUGCAUCGCUUGAAUCCGGGAGAGGUGAGUGGAAUUCCGAGUGUAGAGGUGAAAUUCGUAGAUAUUCGGAAGAACACCAGUGGCGAAGGCGGCUCACUGGACCGGUAUUGACGCUGAGGUGCGAAAGCGUGGGGAGCAAAACAGG
rnacentral:rRNA from 1 species